rnacentral:misc_RNA from 1 species
GACUUGCAAAGCCCCAGUGGUUCUUCUUUUCAUAUCCAUAACACCUGUGCACUGUUGGAUGCUUGCAUCCCCUUUAAACUAAACAUUAUUGUAACAAAUGUACUCUUAUUAUAACAUAAUACAACUUUCAUCAACCAAACA